UGGGGAAUCUUGGACAAUGGGCGCAAGCCUGAUCCAGCCAUGCCGCGUGGAUGAUGAAGGCCUUAGGGUUGUAAAAUCCUUUCGUUGGGGACGAUAAUGACGGUACCCAAAGAAGAAGCUCCGGCUAACUUCGUGCCAGCAGCCGCGGUAAUACGAAGGGAGCUAGCGUUGUUCGGAAUCACUGGGCGUAAAGCGCACGUAGGCGGACUUGUAAGUUGGGGGUGAAAUCCCGAGGCUCAACCUCGGAACUGCCUCCAAAACUACAAAUCUGGACCUAAGUAGAGGCAAGUGGAAUUGCGAGUGUAGAGGUGAAAUUCGUAGAUAUUCGCAGGAACACCAGUGGCGAAGGCGACUUGCUGGACUUAUGGUGACGCUGAGACGCGAAAGCGUGGGGAGCAAACAGGAUUAGAUACCCAUGUAGUCCCUGAGCGGGCUGGCAAGGCGCAU
rnacentral:rRNA from 1 species